rnacentral:rRNA from 1 species
GUCUAUGACCACACCAUCCUGAACACGCCCGAUCUCCGCUGAUCUCAGAAGCUAAGCAGGGUCAGAUCCGGUCAGUACUUGGAUGGGAGAGCAAUACCCGACAUCCUCCCCU